rnacentral:lncRNA from 1 species
AACAACACACAUAAUAACAGAGUGCAUAGAGAUAAAUGUCAUAAAUAUCAUAAAUGUAUUUAUUACAUAGCGGAAGUCUUACAAAAAUAAAUGAUAAAAUAAAACGAACUAAUUAUUAUUCCCUGGUGCCAUAAAGCUGACUGGGAGACGCCACCUAGAUCAAGUCGAAUGCCUCAGUGUUAGGCAGCUCCUCUUCGACCACCUGCUCUUCUCCUGUGGGGGGUGUGAGACAGCAAGAGUGAGCUCACAUACGUUCAUAACUCAACAAGUCGUGGGGAAUAACGUGCAUGAACUCAACAAAGGUGGGAGUUAAUGUGAAGUGUAAGGCUGAUCAACAAAAUAGAGGCUGAAGCUGAGCAUUGCUUUUAUAAGUCGGUCAAAAUUUUAUUAGCAAUUACUAAGUGUAAGUAAAUACCAAACAUUAAUAAUAAUAAAGAAAAGUAAUAAUAAAAUAAUCCCAAAUGCGAUGCAAAUGUCAAAUUAAAUUUAAGUUACAUAAAUUAAUCAUGUGAGGGUCCGAGCUGCUCAUGACCGUGAGCACGGCUAGUAUACCAAUUUUACACUCUGUAGAGGUUGUAUAUCUUUACCCACAAGUCAUGUUACCCAUCUGCCAAGAGACGGCCAAUCCCAUACACCUCUACCGAGGAGGCGAGGCAGGGUAACACUAGCUUCAGAAAUCCCGCUAUAGUUUAUAGGAAGCUCCAGUGCAGGAAUCCCUCGCCUGACCGCCAUCGCAGCAAAAUCAACCCAAGGACCUCCCUACACUGACCACUCCCCUACUGCCCUUGCCCCUUUCGGGUAAGGAAGACCUCCACUAGCUUUCCUAGUUAAUCAGCCAAGGGCGUCCCAUUAAACCCUUGUGGUAGCACUGUUUUCCCGGGUGGUCACUCCAUAUUCCCAUUAACAUAAUGAUCUUAACAUGAACAGUAAUAAUAAAAAGAUAAUAAAAGAGUAAUCAUGAAUAGUAUAUCUCCAUACCUAAAUCCAUAUAAAGCAAUAGCAGGUACUACCCAAAAAUAUUUCAAUGGUGAACAAGGUAUAAAGAUAACCAAAACUGGGGUAACCUAAAGGAUCCCAUCAAGAUUAACCUAUGCAGAUCAUUAUAAUUAAUAAGAACAUGGCUGGGAAAAAGUAAGUGAUCAAGGGCACAACUUGCCUUCAAUGAGCUCCUGCUCAGCUACUUCUACUUGCUGAACAUCAGAAUCCACAGUGGCUUGCUCGUCUACUCGAAUCAACACAAAACAUACAUAGUAGCAAAAAUUAACAUUGCACCAAACUUGUGAAUAAAAUACACAAUGAAAAUCUACACAUUAAAAUGAGAUCAUAGGAACUAGAAUCAUUAAAUUUGGAGUUAUAGAUUUUAAAUAUAAAUUUCCUAGGGUUUAAUGUGCUUGAAAUAGGAUUAAAUGAGAAAUUAAUUUCCUUAUUGUUUCAUGUCAAAACAGAGGCACUAAAUGAUAGACAAUAAUAUUACAAAAUUUUAGAAAUUGCAAUGGAUCGAUUUGAUUAAAAAUGAAUUUUCUAUGCAUUUUACAAGUUUCUAGAUUUGUUUUUGUAUUAAAACGAAUUUAUAUAAUUAUUUUCUCUGUUUUAAUCUUCUCUAGACUCGGCCUCAUUUUCCAGAAAACUCAGGGGCCUCUGCGCAAGAUAUUCCAGGACUCAGAGUACUGCUACUAAGGAUGGCGGGUUCAUUUAUAACAUCGCUAGGGACUCUUUAGUAAACUGUGCAACGCGAAGGGGUAUCCCAAUAUUUCAGCCCUCCGAUCAGGAAUCAAGCGCCCGGAUUAGAUCCAUCGCCCCCUGAACCGGUAACUAACGUCACCCGCCCGAUCAAAGAUGGAGGGCCCAGAUUCAAUGCUGACCGAAGCAUACGGACCACUCGAUCUAACAUAAACGCCCUGGAUUGAUUCACCGUGAAACGUUAUCUAGAUCUAAUCGAGGCCGCAGAUCUCGCGAUCGAUGGCCAGAAACUCGUCGGCAGCAUUCUUCCCCAAUCCCAUUGCCCGCGCACGGCGGCGCACAAGCCGCACGGUGGAGCGCCCGCCGGAGCACCCUAGCACGCACCCCAGUGCCCCACAACCCAAUCCGAGCCGCGACAAACGAUGCAAAGGUGAUGGAGAAUUCCAUGGAAUGGUGCUCACCGAGAUUGCACCCGUAGAGACCCUCCGCCCACGGCGCAGCGACGAUGAAAAAUCCCGGCGAGAAAUUCCCGGCGGCCCCGUGCUUCUUCAAUCGCCGUGAGAGGCUAAACAGCACCACCACGCCCCCGCGAUGUACCACGACACGACAACGUGCCCAGAUCGGCGAGGGGAAAGGCUUGCCCCGUGCGGCGGCACUCGACCCUCACGGUUCUUACGGUGGCGAUGGAGAUUAGUUUGGUUGGGGCUAAUUGCGCGUUGAUGGAGUAAAGGGAGGAUAGGGGCUCGGCUGUGUCCCUUUUAUGGUUGCCUAGGAUUGGUUCGCGCGCUCACAACGGAUUCCGCAUCGCCCACUGCGACCGAGCUCGCCCGAGCCAAGCGACGAAGGAAGGGGGAAGGUGGGCGCCCGACAACGAGGGCCCGCAAGCUAGUGAGCACGCAGUUACCAGAGGAAACCGACAAGUGGGCCCCGUGAGACAGAGGGAGCGGGAGGAGUUGGGCCAAGCAGGAAAGGAG